GGAAAGAUAUUCCAGUGGUUAGGGCACUACCCUAAGAGUGAGGAGAUGCAGGUUCAAUUCCCUGCUUUUUCCA
rnacentral:tRNA from 1 species